rnacentral:misc_RNA from 1 species
CCAAUAGCGUAUAUUAAAGUUGUUGCAGUUAAAAAGCUCGUAGUUGAAUUUCGGGGUCAGUAGGUCGGUCGUGCCACUGGUAUGAACUGGUUUUACUGAUUCCUCCCUCUUGAAGAACUGUAAUGCCAUUAAUUUGUUGUUGCAGGGAAUCAGGACUGUUACUUUGAAAAAAUUAGAGUGUUUAAAGCAGGCUUUAGCUUGAAUACAUUAGCAUGGAAUAAUGAAAUAGGACGUUUGAUCCUAUUUUGUUGGUUUCUAGGAUUGACGUAAUGAUUAAUAGGGAUAGUUGGGGGCAUUAGUAUUCAAUUGUCAGAGGUGAAAUUCUUGGAUUUAUUGAAGACUAACUACUGCGAAAGCAUUUGCCAAGGAUGUUUUCAUUAAUCAAGAACGAAAGUUAGGGGAUCGAAGACGAUCAGAUACCGUCGUAGUCUUAACCAUAAACUAUGCCGACUAGGGAUCGGAUGAUGUUAAUUUUUUAAUGACUCAUUCGGCGCCUUACG